rnacentral:misc_RNA from 1 species
GAUGAAGAACGUAGCGAAAUGCGAUAAGUAGUGUGAAUUGCAGAAUUCAGUGAAUCAUCGAAUCUUUGAACGCACAUUGCGCCCCUUGGUAUCCCGAGGGGCAUGCCUGUUCGAGCGUCAUUUCACCACUCAAGCCUGGCUUGGUGUUGGGCGACGUCCCCUUUGGGGACGCGCCUCGAAACGCUCGGCGGCGUGGCACCGGCUUUAAGCGUAGCAGAAUCUUUCGCUUUGGAAGUCGGGGCCCCGUCUGCCGGAAGACCUACUCGCAAGGUUGACCUCGGAUCAGGCAGGGAUACCCGUUGAACUUAAGCAUAUCAAUAAGCGGAGGA